rnacentral:rRNA from 1 species
UACGGAGGGAGCAAGCGUUACUCGGAAUUAUUGGGCGUAAAGGGCGCGUAGGCGAUUUGGAAAGUCUUGUGUGAAAGCCCCGAGCUUAACUCGGGAAGUGCACAAGAAACUGUUGAAUUUGAGUUCCGGAGAGGAAGGCAGAAUUCCCGGUGUAGCGGUGAAAUGCGUAGAUAUCGGGAGGAAUACCAGUGGCGAAGGCGGCCUUCUGGACGGAUACUGACGCUGAGGCGCGAAAGCCAGGGGAGCAAACGGG